rnacentral:lncRNA from 1 species
ACUAAAAAUCACAAGGCCAUCCAUAUUUUUUUGCGAUCUCACGUUUUCUAGCGAGUGCGACUUCCAACAUCUUCGGGUUAAGGUCGUCGGUAGGCCGAUUAUACCACUCAAAGUCCUUCUCGUACAUUGUUUGUCGCAACGCCUCUCGUUGCUCAUCCGCCAAGGUCAAAUAUUUUUCUUCUCGUACACGUUUAAUUUCCAUUAUCUCUUUUUUCAUGGCCUUGUACUCUUCGAAUUUGCUUGUUAUAUCUCUUGGAUCUUCUUGCGGAUUAAACGGGACACUACUACCACCCGAACCACGUUUAUCUUGAGGCUUCGACUUUGAACCGGACCCUACCAUUUUCUUCUUGCCUUCACCCUUCUUUGAGCCUUCCAUAUUUUUCAAAGUGUAGAAUAGAUUGAGAGAGUAUAGAGAGAAAGGUGUAUUUUUUUAAAAUGUGUGAGUGGUAUGUAUAUAGGGUGA